rnacentral:tRNA from 1 species
GGAGGCGUCGCAUAGUGGUCUAGUGCGCACGCUUGGAAAGCGUGUAAGGGGGCAACCCCUUCGAGGGUUCAAAUCCCUCCGCCUCCG